rnacentral:miRNA from 1 species
GGGAAGAUGAGAGGGGAGGAUGGGAGGGAGGAGUAACAAAAGUAAAAACAAAAACUAAAAACUGAAAUCUAUUUGAAAUUGUUUUCACUUUUGUUACUCCUCCCUCCCAUCCUUCCCUCCCAUCCUUCCCU